rnacentral:rRNA from 1 species
GACGAACGCCGGCGGCGUGCUUAACACAUGCAAGUCGAACGGAAAGGCCCUGCUUUUGUGGGGUGCUCGAGUGGCGAACGGGUGAGUAACACGUGAGUAACCUGCCCUUGACUUUGGGAUAACUUCAGGAAACUGGGGCUAAUACCGGAUAGGAGCUCCUGCUGCAUGGUGGGGGUUGGAAAGUUUCGGCGGUUGGGGAUGGACUCGCGGCUUAUCAGCUUGUUGGUGGGGUAGUGGCUUACCAAGGCUUUGACGGGUAGCCGGCCUGAGAGGGUGACCGGCCCACAUUGGGAUGGAGAAAGGCCCCGACCUCCUCGGGGAGGAAGCGGUGGGCAAUCUGCAACAGGGGGGGGGCUCCGAAUGCAGCAACCCCGGGGGGGGGAUGGCGGCCUUCGGUUUGAACCCCCCUUCCGCUGGUGAGGAGGGGUGAGUGACGGGAGGGGAAAAAGAAGCCCCGGCAAACUACGUG